AACGAACGCUGGCGGCGUGCCUAACACAUGCAAGUCGAACGGGAAAGCCCGCAAAGGUGAGUACAGUGGCGCACGGGUGCGUAACACGUGGGUAAUCUGCCCUGGAGCCCGGAAUAACUCCCCGAAAGGGGUGCUAAUGCCGGAUAAGACCACGGGGACUUCGGUCCCUGCGGGAAAAGGUGGCCUCUGUAUACAAGCUAUCACUCCUGGAUGAGCCCGCGGCCCAUCAGCUAGUUGGCGGGGUAACGGCCCACCAAGGCUACGACGGGUAGCUGGUCUGAGAGGACGACCAGCCACACUGGAACUGAGACACGGUCCAGACCCCUACGGGAGGUAGCAGUGGGGAAUCUUGCGCAAUGGGCGAAAGCCUGACGCAGCAACGCCGCGUGUGUGAUGAAGGUCUUCGGAUCGUAAAGCACUGUCGGGAGGGACGAAUAAGGGCCGGGUGAACAAUCCGGUCCGACGACGGUACCUCCAAAGGAAGCACCGGCUAACUCUGUGCCAGCCGCCGCUGUAACAC
rnacentral:rRNA from 1 species